GCGCGGUCCUAGGUCACUUAAAGAGACUAGCCGCGUCACGAGCAGUCAGCAUCCUGGGCGCUACGGGGUGCGAAUCCGCGGGCCGUACA
rnacentral:tRNA from 1 species